rnacentral:tRNA from 1 species
GCGCUUGUAGCUCAGUUGGAUAGAGCAUCCGCCUUCUAAGCGGACGGUCGUGGGUUCGACUCCCGCCGAGCGCACCA